UGAACAAGCAGUAUGAAUCUGUCGUUAUUAGGGACGGUAUUGUUCAACAGUCUUUCAUAUUCGAAACGCGGGAGUGUGGACGUGCUACGGAAUAUUUACCUAUUUAAACGUUACAAUGUUUGUGUUUAGCAAGUGUUUGUGCAAUUGAAUCCUUCCCUGAUGCACUUCGUGAUACACAAAGAAGCUUACUCCAGUAACACAAUUCUUCAUAAAUUCUUUCCCAUGCCGUUAUGCAUAAACACAAUACCGCUUCGUGUCCUAUGCUUAUCUAUCAUACGACAAAUUAAACAUAGGAUAUAAUCUAAACUAACAGUUUUUCGACAUAAAUAGGUUAAUACUUUUGUAUAUGAUAUGAAAUGUUACGAUAUUGGUUACACUACUGUUGCUUACAAAGCACGAGUUUCGACUGAUUGGUAAAUAAAGAAAAAAAAAAGAAUAAUAUCAAGAAAGAACCGAUUCGGAAGGACGAGCCUUUCGUUUAUCUCCGAAUCUCUCAUCAAACAGGUCAUAUUGUAGGAUGUGAGCAUACUUCCCGCGGUGAACGUAUGUAUUGUUUAUAUAUAUUGUUCUGAUAUAGUUAUUAACUAUGCAUAUUGUUACGUAAAUUUAUAUUGUAGUAUAAGAAUGUCACCGAAAAAUCCGCCUGUUUUAAACCCCUUCCUUUAAUGUGUGUAAUUAGCUUUUUGUAGACAUUAACGC